CAACACCUUGCCCAGUUCCAGUUUUGACAUUGCCGACCUAAGAGCAAGAGACAUUGUUCUCCAGUACUGUUCGAAAUCUUUGUAGGCUGAUGGCUUCACGGUAAUUUCCACCGGCUGCUUCACAAAAUCUCCAAGUUUUCUUUAUUGAUCUUACGUUUCAACACCUGCCCUUGGACCUACACUGACGUUCGCCAGGAUUUGAUUGCAUACUCAUGCUGAUUGUAUUUGACGCCAAGAAAGCUUUAAAGGUUAAAGGAAAGGCUCCUCAUCUGUGUUUGGCAACUGCCGAUCUAAAUGGUGCUGUUUUGUUCAUUCCUGUCUGAAGAUACGUAGCCUGCACUUAAUUUUUACAAUCAGGUGUGAAUUGUUUGUCUAUGUUUGAAGGUGAAGGUUUAUUUUGAAGUCUGAAGAGUGUUUGAAAAUAUCUGGUAGUCAGCUAUUGACCAAAGAUGGGGAUUCAAUAUUAUCGAUGAACAGAUUUAAAUUAUAUAGCAGUUCUAACUUGAGUUGCACUAUCUAUGUUACCUAAAAUUUGUGGCAAUUGACCAAUUGUAUUUAAUUUUAAAUAAGUGAGUAAUGAAAUAUACAAAAUAAAAGUGAUA